UUACAGGGACAGAAGAACACGCGUGUGUGUAUCCGGUGGAGAGAGGCUCAUGAUGCUGAAUGCUGUCAUCAAAGGCUUUGACUUUUGUGGUGGAGCAGGACCUGCAAGGAAAGAUGAUGGCAGCAUUUGUUUUAGGGAUUUUACUCAAAUUUAAAGGUCAUUUUUGUUAUUUUUAAUACAUAAAUCAAAUGAUAUUGUGCUGUUAAAAUGACUGCUUUUGUAUAAUGUUUGUGCAUUUUUCUAGGAUCUGAAGUCUGCAGACUGGUGUGAGCACUGAGGAUGAGGAGCCCAGAGCUGAAUCCUGGAAGUGGUGCCAUGGAUGAGACCCUCCAUCACUCCUUCUGCCCUUAUGAGACGCUCCAUCUCUCCAUCUGCUCUUAUCGCCUCAGAUUGUGAAGCGCAGCACAGCAACAAGCUCCGGCACGAAGGCACGGUCACCUCUGGUGAAUUCAUCAGAGUAAAGCCGCAGAAUGGGAACCGCUGUAUUGAGAUGGCAGUAGAUGUGGGGCUCAGCGCCUGUAAAUACAUGCUUGUAGUUUGAAUAAAGAUUUGUUUCAUGUGUUGUUGAAUUGUAUAUGCAUUUCUUUAUUGUGAUGGUUACUUUUAUUUGUUCUUUUACUCAUUUAUUCAUGUUUCUUAUUGUUGUCAGUAUAUAAAAUAUAAUUAUUUAAUUAA